rnacentral:rRNA from 1 species
UACGUAGGUGGCAAGCGUUGUCCGGAUUUACUGGGCGUAAAGAGCGCGCAGGCGGUCGGCCAAGUCGAGUGUGAAAGCCCCCGGCUCAACUGGGGAGGGUCAUUCGAUACUGGUCGACUCGAAGGCAGGAGAGGGAAGCGGAAUUCCCGGUGUAGUGGUGAAAUGCGUAGAUAUCGGGAGGAACACCAGUGGCGAAGGCGGCUUCCUGGCCCUGUUCUUGACGCUGAGG